rnacentral:rRNA from 1 species
GUGGGGAAUAUUGGACAAUGGGGGGAACCCUGAUCCAGCGACGCCGCGUGAGUGAAGAAGUAUCUCGGUAUGUAAAGCUCUAUCAGCAGGGAAGAAAGAAAUGACGGUACCUGACCAAGAAGCCCCGGCUAACUACGUGCCAGCAGCCGCGGUAAUACGUAGGGGGCAAGCGUUAUCCGGAUUUACUGGGUGUAAAGGGAGCGUAGACGGUAAUGCAAGUCUGGAGUGAAAUGCAGGGGCUCAACCCCUGAACUGCUUUGGAAACUGUAUGACUGGAGUGCAGGAGAGGUAAGUGGAAUUCCUAGUGUAGCGGUGAAAUGCGUAGAUAUUAGGAGGAACACCAGUGGCGAAGGCGGCUUACUGGACUGUAACUGACGUUGAGGCUCGAAAGCGUGGGGAGCAAACAGG